GAUGAACGCUGGCGGCGUGCCUAAUACAUGCAAGUCGAGCGAAUGGAUUAAGAGCUUGCUCUUAUGAAGUUAGCGGCGGUCGGGUGAGUAACACGUGGGUAACCUGCCCAUAAGACUGGGAUAACUCCGGGAAACCGGGGCUAAUACCGGAUAACAUUUUGAACCGCAUGGUUCGAAAUUGAAAGGCGGCUUCGGCUGUCACUUAUGGAUGGACCCGCGUCGCAUUAGCUAGUUGGUGAGGUAACGGCUCACCAAGGCAACGAUGCGUAGCCGACCUGAGAGGGUGAUCGGCCACACUGGGACUGGGACACGGCCCAGACUCCUACGGGAGGCAGCAGUAGGGAAUCUUCCGCAAUGGACGAAAGUCUGACGGAGCAACGCCGCGUGAGUGAUGAAGGCUUUCGGGUCGUAAAACUCUGUCGUUAGGGAAGAACAAGUGCUAGUUGAAUAAGCUGGCACCUUGACGGUACCUAACCAGAAAGCCACGGCUAACUACGUGCCAGCCGCCGCCGUAA
rnacentral:rRNA from 1 species